UACGUAGGGACCGAGCGUUGUCCGGAAUCAUUGGGCGUAAAGAGCGUGUAGGCGGCCACUUAAGUCCUGCGUGAAAUCUUGCGGCUCAACCGCAAGCGGUCGUGGGAAACUGGGUGGCUAGAGUGCGGUAGGGGAGACUGGAAUUCCUGGUGUAGCGGUGAAAUGCGCAGAUAUCAGGAGGAACACCGGUGGCGAAGGCGGGUCUCUGGGCCGUAACUGACGCUGAGGAGCGAAAGCGUGGGGAGCGAACAGG
rnacentral:rRNA from 1 species